rnacentral:tRNA from 1 species
GCGCCUGUACUCCAACUGGCAGAGAGACUAGUUUUAGGAACUAGGGGUUCUCGGUUCGAAUCCGAGCAGGCGCA